UACGUAGGGUGCAAGCGUUGUCCGGAAUUAUUGGGCGUAAAGAGCUCGUAGGCGGUCUGUCGCGUCUGCUGUGAAAACUCAGGGCUUAACCCUGAGCUUGCAGUGGGUACGGGCAGACUAGAGUGCGGUAGGGGAGACUGGAAUUCCUGGUGUAGCGGUGAAAUGCGCAGAUAUCAGGGAGGAACACCGGUGGCGAAGGCGGCCAUCUGGCUCGGUACUGACGCUCGAGGCGCGAAAGCGU
rnacentral:rRNA from 1 species